UUGAGUUUUUCUGCCUCGAGCUUCAUCACCAGUGAUGUUCAGGACUCAUUCUUGUAUUUUACACUCUCUGAUGUUUUCUUUUCUUCAUGUCUAGUGUGUGAAUCAUUUCUGGUUUGUCUCUUCAGUGUCUCAUGUGGCCCUGCAGCUUCUCCUCCUCCACCUCCUCCUGAAGCCUUCAUCUUCUUCAUCAUCAGCUGCUCAGUGACUCUGUUGGACGUCUCACCGUGUGGCAGCAGCUCAGGAGUUUGCAGUCAACCAAGGCCGACUCAGAAUCACUCCCACCGGGAAGAUCUGUGAAGGAAGGUCCACCCGGCUGGUCCAGAAGCUCCGGUCCAGCAGAGCAGCGUCAGGAUGGAGACGUAACCGGUGUUGAUGUCACCGCCUUGACGAAUAGAAGAAAAGCCUGUAUUUGGGUAUGUAGGACUGGUAGUCCAGAGGUAGUGGUGGUGGUUUGGAACCUGGAGAGUGCAGGUUCAAU